rnacentral:rRNA from 1 species
AACGAACGCUGGCGGCAGGCCUAACACAUGCAAGUCGAGCGCCCUUUCGGGGGAGCGGCGGACGGGUGAGUAACGCGUGGGAAUAUGCCCUUCUCUACGGAAUAGCCUCGGGAAACUGAGAGUAAUACCGUAUACGCCCUUUGGGGAAAGAUUUAUCGGGGAAGGAUUAGCCCGCGUUGGAUUAGGUAGUUGGUGGGGUAAUGGCCUACCAAGCCGACGAUCCAUAGCUGGUUUGAGAGGAUGAUCAGCCACACUGGGACUGAGACACGGCCCAGACUCCUACGGGAGGCAGCAGUGGGGAAUCUUAGACAAUGGGGGCAACCCUGAUCUAGCCAUGCCGCGUGAGUGAUGAAGGCCUUAGGGUUGUAAAGCUCUUUCAGCUGGGAAGAUAAUGACGGUACCAGCAGAAGAAGCCCCGGCUAACUCCGUG